AGAGUUUGAUCCUGGCUCAGGACGAACGCUGGCGGCGUGGAUUAGGCAUGCAAGUUGAGCGACGGUUAUCCUUCGGGAUAAUACGGAGCAGCGAACGGGUGAGUAACACGUGAAACAAUCUGUCCUUACAUUCCGGAUAAUUGGGGAGAAAUCCCUUUGUAAUACGGGGGGAGGGUCUUCUGGGGGGCAUUCCCCAGGAGAAGGAAGGCGCAAGCCGUGCAAGGAGGGAGUUCGCGGCCUAUCAGGUAGUUGGUGAGGUAAUGGCUCACCAAGCCCGACGACGGGUAGCUGGUCUGAGAGGGAUGGUCAGCCACAUUGGAACUGAGACACUGUCCCAGACUCCUACGGGAGGCUGCAGUCGAGAAUCUUGGGCAAUGCACGAAAGUGUGACCCAGCGACGCCGCGUGAAGGAUGAAGGCCUCUGGGUCGUAAACUUCUUUUUAUGGGGGAAAGAAAAGCUCGCAAGAGCCUUGACACCCCAUGAAUAAGCCACGGCUAACUACGUGCCAGCAGCCGCGGUAAUACGUAGGUGGCAAGCGUUGUCCGGAUUUACUGGGCGUAAAGCGUACGCAGGCGGAUGGUUAAGUAGGAAGUGAAAGGUUGGAGCUCAACUCCGACACUGCUCCCUAUACUGGCCGUCUGAGUAGCGGAGAGGAAGAUGGAACAAGUUGUGUAGCGGUGAAAUGCGUUGAUAUAACUUGGAACACCAAUGGCGAAAGCAUCUUCUGGACGCAAACUGACGCUCAUGUACGAAAGNNAAGGUAGCAAACAGGAUUAGAUACCCNNGUAGUCC
rnacentral:rRNA from 1 species